rnacentral:rRNA from 1 species
CCUACGGGAGGCAGCAGUGGGGGAUAUUGCACAAUGGGGGAAACCCUGAUGCAGCGACGCCGCGUGGGUGAAGAAGCGCCUCGGCGCGUAAAGCCCUGUCAGCAGGGAAGAAAAUGACGGUACCUGAAGAAGAAGCCCCGGCGAACUACGGGCCAGCAGCCGCGGUAAUACGUAGGGGGCAAGCGUUAUCCGGAUUUACGGGGUGUAAAGGGGGCGCAGACGGCGAUGCAAGCCAGGAGUGAAAGCCCGGGGCCCAACCCCGAGACUGCUCUUGGAACUGCGUGGCUAGAGUGCAGGAGGGGCAGGCGGAAUUCCUGGUGUAGCGGUGAAAUGCGUAGAUAUCAGGAGGAACACCGGUGGCGAAGGCGGCCUGCUGGACUGCAACUGACGUUGAGGCCCGAAAGCGUGGGGAGCAAACAGGAUUAGAUACCCGAGUAGUC